UAUAGUGCCUAUUUUACAUGUAAAAAGGUUUCAGGAAUUGUAGAAACCUUUGAAGAAAGUGACGACAUCUAAAUUUCAAUGUACGCUGAUCCAGUUGAACGACACUGAAAUUUCUCCACACAUGAUCUACACCGAUUACCGAGAAAGAAAGUCGAGCUCUCAGCUGUGAACAUGCCGACAACCUCAUACAAACUCUACCACACAAACAUGAAGAGAGAGAACAUGUGAAUGUCCAUUGUUCGAACACAAGUGUGGGGCUGGAAAUGGGUCAACCCUACUUGAAACACACGUGACUGGAGAGGACUGUGAAUUGUCAACCCAUCAAGUAAUGAAGCAGAAUCGACACUUUACUCCUGAGAACGAAGUACCCCCUGUGAUAAACUGGAAGUGACCUUGAGGCUUAAGGUUGAGAUGUACGCAAAUCCAAUCAAUCUCGUACCACCUAGUGAUGGGAAAGAUACCUCUAAGCGUCAAGUGAAAAUGUAUGCAGACCCGGACGACAUCAUACCAACUCCCCAGCUGCCGCCACGCAAUUUCGACAAAGGAGAGCAUUUAAACAUGCCUGUUCAAGACAGGGGUCAGUGCUUUCUCUCAGUGAUUUGGUGAGUGCCUCUGGGUCCCGAUGAAGACGCUGCAGCUGAACCAUUUCUUCAGUGUCCCUAUCCUACCAACUCUGAGAAGACCAUGUUGGCACAAUAAUGCAGGAAUGUCUAGAAAACAUCUCGAUUACUGGUUUGCAAAUGCUAUAUAGAAGAAACAUCAGUAAAAAGUUUUUUUGUUUUUUUUUUUUGUUUUUUUUUCUCCCC